AACGAACGCUGGCGGCAGGCCUAACACAUGCAGGUCGAACGCUCUAGCAAUAGGGAGUGGCGCACGGGUGAGUAACGCGUAGGAAUCUACCCAUUAGCCUGGGAUAACAGCGGGAAACUGCUGCUAAUACCGGAUACGCUCCUUCGGGAGGAAAGGUUUACUACUAAUGGAUGAGCCUGCGUUAGAUUAGCUAGUUGGUGAGGUAAUGGCUCACCAAGGCUCCGAUCUAUAGCCGGUCUGAGAGGACGAUCGGCCACACUGGGACUGAGACACGGCCCAGACUCCUACGGGAGGCAGCAGUGGGGAAUAUUGGGCAAUGGGCGCAAGCCUGACCCAGCCAUGCCGCGUGAGUGAUGAAGGCCCUAGGGUUGUAAAGCUCUUUCACCGGUGAAGAUAAUGACGGUAACCGGAGAAGAAGCCCCGGCUAACUUCGUGCCAGCAGCCGCGGUAAGAC
rnacentral:rRNA from 1 species